AUACGGAGGAUCCGAGCGUUAUCCGGAUUUAUUGGGUUUAAAGGGUGCGCAGGCAGCCAUUUAAGUCAGCGGUUAAAUCGUGGGGCUCAACCCCAUUCUGCCGUUGAUACUGGGUGGCUUGAUUGCGGUCGAGGUUGGCGGAAUUCGUUGUGUAGCGGUGAAAUGCAUAGAUAUGACGAAGAACACCGAUUGCGUAGGCAGCUGACCAGACCGCAAAUGACGCUCAUGCACGAAAGUGCGGGGAUCGAACAGGAUUAGAUACCCUGGUAGUCCGCACAGUAAACGAUGAAUACUUGUUUUCGGCGAUAUAAUGUCGGAGGCAAAGCGAAAGCGAUAAGUAUUCCACCUGGGGAGUACGCCGGCAACGGUGAAACUCAAAUGAAUUGACGGGG
rnacentral:rRNA from 1 species